rnacentral:misc_RNA from 1 species
AUUCCCAAAUCCAAUUAUGAAUCCAAAUCUAAAAUUGAGCGAGUUUUCUCUGAAAACCUAACUGAUGAUUGACUGCGUGUUGCCACGAAGAUAUUUAUAGAGAUUCGUGUUAAGAAAUCUUACAAGUAAAUACAUCGAUUGUAGCAUCUCUGGUGCAGAAAUAUCUUUCGUAAGAAAAUUCAGUUCAGGGCGUUCCCAUCGACGCUAAGCUCAAGCAUACAGGUGCGAGCUUACAGGUGUUGGCGCUUCUACCUGAUAAGAAGCAUACCCGUGACGUCAGAUCAGCGCUGGUAGAGUAUAUGAGUGGCACCGGAGAGACAUCCACGUCACUCGUUCUUGAACCUCUUCGUUCGUUUGUUCUGCAAAGAGUUGUUUUUUCGUUAUUAUAUUAUCCGUCCCGUUGGUUCGUUGCGCGCCCCUUUCACAGCUUCGUUAUUCCUCUACGUUUUCCUCACACGAUGACGUGCAACGAGAAGAAGCUGCGAGCGGAAUGUAUGUUCAUGCGGAAGUCUAGCGUGAUCGUUCAUGGUUUUGGGACUCAGGGGUACCGAUCAGGCGCUCGUGUCCAUCGAUGCUGAAGUUCCUGCAACCUCAAGUACCUACAGCUGGAAUUCUUCGUGCCGUGGUCUUUUCAUGUGUAAAUUCCAGGGAUAUAAUUGCUACUAGAGAAUACACGACGUCAGUUUCGCGCUUGAACUAAUGAUUAUGUAACGUACGGGCAUCGGUAAUGAAACAUUUUACAACGACCCCGAUAACGUUGUUUCUCAGGUAUUCAAGAUAUUUGUUUCGCGACAUUUUUCUAUCGAAGAAAUCUUUUGAUAAGCGAAAAUAUCGCAUUGUUACGAUAUCUCGGUUAAUGUUCGUAGAUUUCGCAUUUUCGUCGUGAUGACGGUGUUCUCGCAAAAUAUUGAAAAUAACGCCGUAGAUGGAUCGUACAUCUGAUCGAGGAAUCUGGAUGAAUAUUUGUCCGAAAUAGUAAUUUUAAUUGAUGAACACGUCAGAAGGCAUAUUGGCGUUGAUAAUGAUAUUGUUACAAUUACUGCGAUAACGAUGUUAAACGUGCCUCGUAUUUGUUUAGAUGGUUAUAAUAUCGGAAUCGAGAGAGAUCUCAGAAUGAUGUUUUUAAUAUUCAAUUUCUUCGUGCGAAGCAUACAAAUAUUUUACACGUUGGCAUGUUAAUAAAACUAUACUUUUUCGCAAAUAAGCGCGCAAAUAAGAGGAUAACGCGAAACUCAUUAAAGUUGGUAAAUAGACUACGAUGGAAUAAAGAGAAUCAGUGUAUUGCUUAAUUUCCAUCUUCUUUUAUCUUGUUGAAACUAAUCUUUAUUAAGAUCUUCCCAGGAAAAACUGUUAAUAAGUUCAGUUAAUUUAUUAUUUCGAAUAAAGUGUAGAAUGAAAGUAAUCAAAGAUUUCAAUUUAUUUGAUCGUAUUUCGAGAUUACACAAGUUGCUUGCAAAUUGAGCGACGAAAUCCUUCUACUUGAGGAUUUUUGGUAAUACCUGUACUCUGUACAAGUCAACUCUUUAUCGCUUUUAUCGCAUCGUCUACUGAUAACGUGUAAUCGUUGGCUUCUCUCA